GCGCCUGUAGCUCAAUUGGAUAGAGCGUUGGCCUCCGAAGCCAGAGGUUUCGGGUUCGACUCCCGACAGGCGCA
rnacentral:tRNA from 1 species